rnacentral:rRNA from 1 species
AUACGGAGGAUCCGAGCGUUAUCCGGAUUUAUUGGGUUUAAAGGGUGCGCAGGCGGCCAUUUAAGUCAGCGGUUAAAUCGUGGGGCUCAACCCCAUUCUGCCGUUGAUACUGGGUGGCUUGAUUGCGGUCGAGGUUGGCGGAAUUCGUUGUGUAGCGGUGAAAUGCAUAGAUAUGACGAAGAACACCGAUUGCGUAGGCAGCUGACCAGACCGCAAAUGACGCUCAUGCACGAAAGUGCGGGGAUCGAACAGGAUUAGAUACCCUGGUAGUCCGCACAGUAAACGAUGAAUACUUGUUUUCGGCGAUAUAAUGUCGGAGGCAAAGCGAAAGCGAUAAGUAUUCCACCUGGGAGUACGCCGGCAACGGUGAAACUCAAAUGAAUUGACGGGG